rnacentral:rRNA from 1 species
GGUCAGGCUGAAGACCUUACCCGAUUAGCUGAGAGGUGGUGCAUGGCCGUCGUCAGUUCGUACUGUGAAGCAUCCUGUUAAGUCAGGCAACGAGCGAGACCCACGUCCACAGUUGCCAGCAUACCCUCCGGGGUGAUGGGUACACUGUGGAGACCGCCGCUGCUAAAGCGGAGGAAGGAGUGGGCAACGGUAGGUCAGUAUGCCCCGAAUCUCCCGGGCUACACGCGGGCUACAAUGGUUGGUACAAUGGGCAUCUACCCCGAAAGGGGAAGGAAAUCUCUUAAAGCCAAUCGUAGUUUGGAUUGAGGGCUGCAACUCGCCCUCAUGAAGCUGGAAUCCGUAGUAAUCGCGUUUCAACAGAACGCGGUGAAUACGUCCCUGCUCCUU